rnacentral:rRNA from 1 species
UACGGCCCAGACUCCUACGGGAGGCAGCAGUGGGGAAUAUUGCACAAUGGGCGCAAGCCUGAUGCAGCGACGCCGCGUGAGGGAUGACGGCCUUCGGGUUGUAAACCUCUUUCAAUAGGGACGAAGCGCAAGUGACGGUACCUAUAGAAGAAGGACCGGCCAACUACGUGCCAGCAGCCGCGGUAAUACGUAGGGUCCGAGCGUUGUCCGGAAUUACUGGGCGUAAAGAGCUCGUAGGUGGUUUGUCGCGUUGUCCGUAAAAACUCACAGCUCAACUGUGGGCGUGCGGGCGAUACGGGCAGACUGGAGUACUGCAGGGGAGACUGGAAUUCCUGGUGUAGCGGUGGAAUGCGCAGAUAUCAGGAGGAACACCGGUGGCGAAGGCGGGUCUCUGGGCAGUAACUGACGCUGAGGAGCGAAAGCGUGGGGAGCGAACAGGAUUAGAUACCCUGGUAGUCCACGCCGUAAACGGUGGGUACUAGGUGUGGGUUUCCUUCCCUGGGAUCCGUGCCGUAGCUAACGCAUUAAGUACCCCGCCUGGGGAGUACGGCCGCAAGGCUAAAACUCAAAGAAAUUGACGGGGGCCCGCACAAGCGGCGGAGCAUGUGGAUUAAUUCGAUGCAACGCGAAGAACCUUACCUGGGUUUGACAUGCACAGGACGACUGCAGAGAUGUGGUUUCCCUUGUGGCCUGUGUGCAGGUGGUGCAUGGCUGUCGUCAGCUCGUGUCGUGAGAUGUUGGGUUAAGUCCCGCAACGAGCGCAACCCUUGUCCUAUGUUGCCAGCGGGUUAUGCCGGGGACUCGUAGGAGACUGCCGGGGUCAACUCGGAGGAAGGUGGGGAUGACGUCAAGUCAUCAUGCCCCUUAUGUCCAGGGCUUCGCACAUGCUACAAUGGCCGGUACAAAGGGCUGCGAAGCCGUGAGGUGGAGCGAAUCCUUUAAAGCCGGUCUCAGUUCGGAUCGGGGUCUGCAACUCGACCCCGUGAAGUCGGAGUCGCUAGUAAUCGCAGAUCAGCAACGCUGCGGUGAAUACGUUCCCGGGCCUUGUACACACCGCCCGUCACGUCAUGAAAGUCGGCAACACCCGAAGCCCGUGGCCUAACCCGUAAGGGAGGGAGCGGUCGAAGGUGGGAUCGGCGAUUGGGACGAAGUCGAAACAAGGUAGCCGUACCGGAAGGUGCGGCUG